rnacentral:rRNA from 1 species
GACGUAGGGGGCGAGCGUUGUCCGGAUUUAUUGGGUGUAAAGAGCGCGUAGGCGGCCCGUUAAGUCGGAUGUGAAAACCCGUGGCUCAACCACGGGCCUGCAUCCGAUACUGGCGGGCUCGAGGCAGGCAGGGGAGAUCGGAAUUCCUGGUGUAGCGGUGAAAUGCGCAGAUAUCAGGAGGAACACCGGUGGCGAAGGCGGAUCUCUGGGCCUGUCCUGACGCUCAGGCGCGAAAGCUAGGGGAGCAAACAGG